UUUGCGGCUGCACUUUGGAGGAGGAGGCAGGUGAACAUUGCCGAUGUGCGAGUCGGAAGACCAGCAAGGUGGACACAGACACCCCUUUUCCAGACUUUCUUCGAAGGAGACGAAAAGAAGGUGCAAAAAAAGAAGCACUCGAUUCGAGAACGGAGUUUGGUUUUUUUCAUGUUUGUGCCAUUUGACUUGAUCCAUUUGGACUGCUUCCAAGACAUUGUGUACAUCUCAACGGACAUGGUCCUGCUGGUGGAUCAGGACGACAGCAGCAUUCCGAGCGCGGGAGAACAGACGCUCAUUCAGCAGCAGUCGCCAAGGAGGCCAGGGACUUGGCAGAGGAAAAAAAAAAAAAAAAAGAGUUUAGGGAAGGAACUGAUGCUUCCCUGUGAGGAAUUGUGGUGCAUUGUCUCACCAUCUGGGCUUCAUACGUGCAAAAUAGGCCACCAUGGGGGCCAAAGAAAGUUGUGAGUGGCAGCACUGUGAUAAAGAAGCACCUACAUGCAACCAUACCACUCUGCCAGG